GCUUCGCAUGCUGAUGGAUCUAUAGUAGGUGCUCCGUUCUCACAAACCAAGUUGAUAAGGAGAGGGUCUGCUUCCUCUGAACGACAUCUUUUCUUUUCUAUGUUGGAAACAUUGCUAUUGCCUUGAGCAGAACCACCAGCAGAAGGCAUGGGAUGCAAUGUCUGGACAUCAGGACAAUUAAACAUAUUCAUUUUUGUUGAAAUGAAGUCU
rnacentral:misc_RNA from 1 species